AUUGAACGCUGGCGGCAGGCCUAACACAUGCAAGUCGAGCGGAUGAAGAGAGCUUGCUCUCUGAUUCAGCGGCGGACGGGUGAGUAAUGCCUAGGAAUCUGCCUGGUAGUGGGGGACAACGUUUCGAAAGGAACGCUAAUACCGCAUACGUCCUACGGGAGAAAGUGGGGGAUCUUCGGACCUCACGCUAUCAGAUGAGCCUAGGUACGAUUAGCUAGUUGGUGAGGUAAAGGCUCACCAAGGCGACGAUCGUUAACUGGUCUGAGAGGAUGAUAAGUCACACUGGAACUGAGACACGGUCCAGACUCAUACGGGAGGCAGCAGUGGGGAAUAUUGGACAAUGGGCGAAAGCCUGAUCCAGCCAUGCCGCGUGUGUGAAGAAGGUCUUCGGAUUGUAAAGCACUUUAAGUUGGGAGGAAGGGCAGUAAGUUAAUACCUUGCUGUUUUGACGUUACCAACAGAAUAAGCACCGGCUAACUUCGUGCCAGCCACCGCCGUAACAC
rnacentral:rRNA from 1 species